rnacentral:rRNA from 1 species
CACAGAAGUUAAGCCCACCAGCGCCGAUGGUACUGCUAACGCGGGAGAGUAGGUCGCCGCCAGUU